UACGGAGGAUCCGAGCGUUAUCCGGAUUCAUUGGGUUUAAAGGGUGCGCAGGCGGGCUUUUAAGUCAGUGGUGAAAAGCUGCCGCUUAACGGUAGUCUUGCCAUUGAUACUGAGAGUCUUGAGUUUGGAUGAGGUAGGCGGAAUGUGCAGUGUAGCGGUGAAAUGCAUAGAGAUUGCACAGAACACCGAUUGCGAAGGCAGCUUACUAAUCCACGACUGACGCUGAGGCACGAAAGCGUGGGGAUCAAACA
rnacentral:rRNA from 1 species